rnacentral:lncRNA from 1 species
GCCGUGGACGGAAGAGAAGGGCGCGAUAGGGGCGUGGGAGUGGUGCGGGCGGCCUUGCCGCGGUUCCUUCCCGGCUCGGGAGCGCACCGCCGCAAGCCCCAGCGCGCUCUCGCCCCUGCCCCGCACCCCCGAGCGGCCCCGGGCCCUGGGCUCCGCUCCACCCCUUCGCCCGCUGCCCGCGCCCUUCUGCGGGACCCUCGGGGCGCCUCCCCUGUGGUCCGCGUCCUUCCGACCUCCGCUCCAUCCCGUCAGGUUCUCCCUGAGCGGAUCAGCGCCGGCGGCAGGGAGAGUGAGGGGCUUCAGUGACGCCCCGCUUCCGGGGUCUGUUUGGGUUUAGAGCGCUGUAGAAUCCAAAAGAUCGGAGAGACCGCAGGGGAAAAGGGCUUCCUGGGUUUUCGGUUAGGCUGGCUCAGCUUGACCUUACGCUGGCCGGAGUGGCUGAGCGCCAGAACGACGGAAGGGCGCGAGCUUCACGCAUUUUGCUAAGGGUUUGGGUUGGUCUUCAGAAACGGGGGGCGUGGCGGGGCGAGGGUACACAAGCCAGACAAAGCCGUGCACAAAUUAUCCUUGAAAGAAGACGGAGCCGUGUGAAUCCUGCCGGAACAGAUGACGCAAACUGUUUACAGGACGGAGCUGCCAGUCUUACCGACAUUAGAGCAAGAAGCUAUACCUGGCGGGUGGAGUACGGGGGGAUCGUUUUUCAGUCUCACUUUAAGGGAACUUUCAGAGACACGUGCACAGGGUUCUGUAAACCCCUCGUGCAGGCCACCCGAAGGCGCCCGUCGUGGGGCAAACCCGGCCCAAGGCACUGUUCCCUUCCCCGCCUGCGCCUUGCGCGUGCUGCUUCAGUGCCGGACCCAGCAGCCCGCGGGACUCCCCACCGGCUUCAGCCAGGGACACUGGCUUGCAUAUCUGCUUACCGAGUCAAAAGCCUUAAACCUCUGACUGGCGUGGACAAUGAAGCUUCUGUCAAAUUUAUACUAGAGAACAAAAGGCACAGAAGGAAAAGAUGAAAAAUUAGAACAGUAAGUAACUGAGAAACUGGCACAGCUCUCUGUCCCCAUUGUUUUUAUGGACAUGGGUAUAAUGG